CCUGGCUGUUGUUGAGGAUGCUUGCAGCCCUCCUUGAAGCUCCCUGGCCAGUAUUUGAAAUGUAAAUUCAAUAUCUAAAAUGGAAAUACCAGGUGACUGGGAUCCUGGAAUUUGCCUUUUCAAGGCCACUUGUCCUACUAUCCCCUCCAUCCCUCCAGGCUGCCAUGAUCCUCCCUCUGGACCCUGUGGUCAGGGUCGCUGCAGAGAUCCUCCCUUUGGACCCCGCCUGCCUGAAGGGCCCAUACCUUGGUCAGGCAUCUUAGAAGGACUGCCGUGAGCCAUGUCAUAAAAAGGAGAAAACAUCACAUUGGACAGCCCCAAUUCCUGCAUAUACAGACGGGAAACUUAGGUGCACUGGGUCCCUUGAGAGUCCAUAUGAAUUUUAGGAUAGAUUUUUCUAUUUGUGCAAAAAACAUCAUUGGAAUUUUUACCUCCUUGAGUUCUCCGCCACCAACUUCCAUAACCAUCAGGAUAUUCUACAACUUCUGCAAGAGUAACAAUUUUACCUUACACUGUAUUUGUCUCAUGUGGUUUAAAACAUCCAGAAAUCAUUGAUAAACUGACCCUGCCCAAACUAAAGCAUGGUGAGUUAUAAAAGAUGGUCGCUGUUAAGUGGGGAGGGAUUGCAGGUUGAACUUAAUUUUAUAAGUGGUCAAUUUAUUACAAUAUAUUGUUCUAUUAUCUAUUUCACUUCUUUUUUAAAAAAAGUGAUAUUUGAGGGCACUUAGAUAAUAAAAAGUUGAGAAGAUAACGAACUGAUGUACUCUGUAAGCUUGAAAUGUUUUCAAGCAUAAGAUACAAUAAGAACUAAAACUAAGAAGUGGCAGAGGAAAUAGAGAUAAGAGGAUGAAAUUGCAAAACAGAAUCUAUAAUAAUAUCUCAAUGGCUAGCGCUGUGGUGCCAAGAAGGUGGUGAAGUCAAAGAAUUCGUAAAGAUGAUAAUAGACUGCAAAGAAAAAAGACUGAAAUUUUUGUAGAGAGAAUUUUUACAGCGAUAUUACAGAUAGAGAACAGGGAAGAGAAGUUGGAGUGAGAGACUAUCUUCUUAAAUUACUUCCACUGUAGA